GACGAACGCUGGCGGCGUGCCUAAUACAUGCAAGUCGAACGCAGUGGGGACGGGUGAGUAACACGUGGGUAACCUCCCAUCAGAGGGGAUAACACUUGGAAACAGGUGCUAAACCGAUACUGAUGGAUGGACCCGCCGUGCAUUAGCUAGUUGGGGAGGUAACGGCGCACCAAGGCCCCGAUGCAUAGCCGACCGGAGAGGUGGAUCGGCCACACUGGGACGGAGACACGGCGAAGACUCCUACGGGAGGCAGAAGUAGGGAAUCUUCGGCAAUGGAAGAAAGUCUGACCGAGCAACGCCGCGGGAGUGAAGAAGGUUUUCGGAUGGUAAACUUCUUUAGACAGGGACGCGGUACCUGUAGAAUAAGCCACGGCUAACUACGUGCCAGCAGCCGCGGUAAUUC
rnacentral:rRNA from 1 species